rnacentral:rRNA from 1 species
GGGGCCGUGGUCGGCUUCGGCUGUCGAGAUAGCGUCCUUGCCUAUUUUUUGGAGUACCCUCCGUUUCCUCAGCAGGUCCGCCUGCUACCGGGGACACACAAAACUCUUUGUAAUCAGCAACCGUCUGAAGAAACUACAAAAAGUCAAAACUUUCAACAAUGGAUCUCUUGGUUCUGGCAUCGAUGAAGAACGCAGCAAAAUGCGAUAAGUAGUGUGAAUUGCAGAAUUCAGUGAAUCAUCGAAUCUUUGAACGCACAUUGCGCCCUUUGGUAUUCCUUAGGGCAUGCCUGUUCGAGCGUCAUUAAGUUCAUCAAGCACGGCUUGUUGUUGGGCGCCUGUCCCGCCUCCGGCGCGGACUCGCCUCAAAACGAUUGGCAGCCCCUCCCGGCGGCACGGAGCGCAGCAGAAUUGCGACUCCUCCCGCGGGGACGGCGGCACCCAGAAGCCUCUCCUUUCAGAUGGACCUCGGAUCAGGUAGGGAUACCCGCUGAACUUAAGCAUAUCAAUAAGCGGAGGAA